rnacentral:lncRNA from 12 species
AUGGCUGAAGUGGGUGCACCCUUUUUUCCACCAAGAUGCUCACGUGCUGUAUGUGAGAGCUGGCAAACAGACUCCUUGAUUCACCAGAUCCCUUCAGGCAGGGGCAGCACCCCACAUCUUUGUGUCUGUUUGUCUGCAUUGGGAUGUGACCUAUGUCAGAGACAAGAGGAUGGAGAGUUGGCAGUUGGAAUUGCCCAGCCUCUGUGGAACACUGGGAAGGGUCAGUUUUCUGGCAACGUGCUUAUGACUAGUGUCUCCAAUUAUUUUAUGGCAGUCACUAAUUGUGAUGGUGUGUGUGUGUGUGUGUGUGUGUAAGAGGGGGUGGGGGGAGAGAGAGAGAAAGGGAGAGAGGGAUGGGGGAGAGAGGGAUGGGGAGAGAGGGAUGGGAGAGAGAAGACAAUCUUAGAAGGAUGGGAGAUGCUGCUGCCUACGAGCAGUGGAGAUGGUACUGGGGAGUUCUGCUGAGUGGGUACGAGUAGAAGAGUUGCUGUACAUUUUUGACUUUGACUAGGUGGCAAGUGAAUUCCUUCCCCUUGGGAAUGGUGUGGACUCAGGUUGAAUAUUUUUUGGUAUCAGAAAACUGUUAAAAUUCUCUUCUGUCGAAGACAUAAAUCCCUCCAUCCUUCUAUCCCUCCAUCCUUCCAUCCCUCCAUCCCUCCAUCCUUCCAUCCAUUUAUCCAUCCAACCUCCCAUCCUUCUACCCCUCCAUUCCUCUAUCCUUCCACCCAUCAAUUUCUCCAUCCUUCUGUCCCUCCAUUCCUCCAUCCUUCCAUCCAUCCAUCCCUCCAUCCUUCCAUCCUUCCAUCCCUCCAUCCCUCCAUCCUUCUAUCCCUCCAUUCUUCUAUCCCUCCAUCCUUCCAUCCCUCCAUCCAUCCAUCCUUCCAUCCGUCCAUCCCUCCAUCCUUCUAUCCCUCCAUCCUUCUAUCCCUCCAUCCCUUUAUCCCUCCAUUGCUCCAUCCUUCUAUCCCUCAAUCCUCUAUCCCUCCAUCCCUCCAUUCUUCUAUCCCUCCAUCCUUCCAUCCCUCCAUCCAUCCAUCCUUCCAUCCGUCCAUCCCUCCAUCCUUCUUUUUUUUUUAAUUUUUAUUUAUUUAUGAUAGGCACACAGUGAGAGAGAGAGAGGCAGAGACACAGGCAGAGGGAGAAGCAGGCUCCAUGCACCGGGAGCCUGACGUGGGAUUUGAUCCCGGAUA